rnacentral:tRNA from 1 species
GGGAGCGUGGCGAAAUGGCAAACGCGUUUGACUUAAGAUCAAAUAUCGAAAGGUUUGUGGGUUCAAGUCCCACCGCUCCUA